GCAAUCGUAGUGUAGCGGUUAUCAUCCCAGCCUUCCAAGCUGGGGACUCGGGUUCGACUCCCGGCGAUUGCA